UACGAAGGGGACUAGCGUUGUUCGGAAUCACUGGGCGUAAAGCGCACGUAGGCGGAUCGAUCAGUCAGGGGUGAAAUCCCAGGGCUCAACCCUGGAACUGCCUUUGAUACUGUCGAUCUGGAGUAUGGAAGAGGUGAGUGGAAUUCCGAGUGUAGAGGUGAAAUUCGUAGAUAUUCGGAGGAACACCAGUGGCGAAGGCGGCUCACUGGUCCAUUACUGACGCUGAGGUGCGAAAGCGUGGGGAGCAAACAGG
rnacentral:rRNA from 1 species